rnacentral:rRNA from 1 species
CCUACGGGAGGCAGCAGUGAGGAAUAUUGGUCAAUGGACGAGAGUCUGAACCAGCCAAGUAGCGUGAAGGAUGACUGCCCUAUGGGUUGUAAACUUCUUUUAUAUGGGAAUAAAACGUUCCACGUGUGGGAUUUUGUAUGUACCAUAUGAAUAAGGAUCGGCUAACUCCGUUCCAGCAGCCGCGGUAAUCCGGAGGAUCCGAGCGUUAUCCGGAUUUAUUGGGUGUAAAGGGAGCGUAGGUGGAUUGUUAAGUCAGUUGUGAAAGUUUGCGGCUCAACCGUAAAAUUGCAGUUGAAACUGGCAGUCUUGAGUACAGUAGAGGUGGGCGGAAUUCGUGGUGUAGCGGUGAAAUGCUUAGAUAUCACGAAGAACUCCGAUUGCGAAGGCAGUUCACUGGACUGCAACUGACACUGAGGCUCGAAAGUGUGGGUAUCAAACAGGAUUAGAUACCCGUGUAGUC